CCUACGGGAGGCAGCAGUGAGGAAUAUUGGUCAAUGGGCGUAAGCCUGAACCAGCCAAGUAGCGUGCAGGACGACGGCCCUAUGGGUUGUAAACUGCUUUUUAAGGGGAAUAAAGAGUGGCACGUGUGCCCUGUUGCAUGUACCCUUAGAAUAAGGACCGGCUAAUUCCGUGCCAGCAGCCGCGGUAAUACGGAAGGUCCGGGUGUUAUCCGGAUUUAUUGGGGUUAAAGGGAGCGUAGGCCGCAGGUUAAGUGUGUUGUGAAAAGCAGUCGCCCAACGUCUGCCUUGCAGCGCAAACUGUCCUGCUUGAGUGCGCACAACGCAGGCGGAAUUCGUCGUGUAGCGGUGAAAUGCUUAGAUAUGACGAAGAACUCCGAUUGCGAAGGCAGCUUGCGGGAGCGCAACUGACGCUGAAGCUCGAAAGUGCGGGUAUCGAACAGGAUUAGAUACCCCUGUAGUC
rnacentral:rRNA from 1 species